AAGAAAUAAGCCCGAUAGGGCGAAAAACUGAGUGGGUAGGAAUUCAACAUAUUGUACAAAAAUAUUUUGGAAUUUCCUUAGCGUUUUAAAAGGCAUGGAAUGGAAGCUCGAAUAUGGGAAUGAUGAAUGUCGAUUAGAGAUCUGCAAGACAGAGCUGCCAAAACAUCAAUGGCACUAACAAAAAUAUCAAUUAAUUCCAAAGAUUACUCUUAAGAUCAAUGGGCUUGACCAUCUAAACUGUCUUUACCGAUCUCCGAUCAACGGCUCUCUGAGCACAUGAGCAGCGUUAAACGAAAGCCAAGCCUUGGGAUGAUUCAGAAAAUGAGCUUUCGAUGAAGUGAUUCGAAUAUGCAUUCAUAUUUUAAUUACAUAGAGUACAUAUAUACACGCACAAUUUUAAAGGAAUAUUGUAUUGCAACGCUCAUGGAGCGCACCCCAAAAAUAAAAAUGUAAAUAUCAUAUAGGGUCAAAGGAUCAUUAGUCAACUCU